rnacentral:rRNA from 1 species
GACGAACGCUGGCGGCGUGUUUAACACAUGCAAGUCGAACGGAAAGGCCCUGCUUUUGUGGGGUGCUCGAGUGGCGAACGGGUGAGUAACACGUGAGUAACCUGCCCUUGACUUUGGGAUAACUUCAGGAAACUGGGGCUAAUACCGGAUAGGAGCUCCUGCUGCAUGGUGGGGGUUGGAAAGUUUCGGCGGUUGGGGAUGGACUCGCGGCUUAUCAGCUUGUUGGUGGGGUAGUGGCUUACCAAGGCUUUGACGGGUAGCCGGUCUGAGAGGGUGACCGGCCACAUUGGGACUGAGAUACGGCCCAGACUCCUACGGGAGGCAGCAGUGGGGAAUAUUGCACAAUGGGCGGAAGCCUGAUGCAGCAACGCCGCGUGCGGGAUGACGGCCUUCGGGUUGUAAACCGCUUUCGCCUGUGACGAAGCGUGAGUGACGGUAAUGGGUAAAGAAGCACCGGCUAACUACGUG